CCUACGGGAGGCAGCAGUGAGGAAUAUUGGUCAAUGGACGAGAGUCUGAACCAGCCAAGUAGCGUGAAGGAUGACUGCCCUAUGGGUUGUAAACUUCUUUUAUAUGGGAAUAAAACGUUCCACGUGUGGGAUUUUGUAUGUACCAUAUGAAUAAGGAUCGGCUAAUUCCGUGCCAGCAGCCGCGGUAAUACGGAGGAUCCGGGCGUUAUCCGGAUUUAUUGGGUUUAAAGGGAGCGUAGGUGGGUUGUUAAGUCAGUUGUGAAAGUUUGCGGCUCAACCGUAAAAGUGCAGUUGAAACUGGCAGUCUUGAGUACAGUAGAGGUGGGCGGAAUUCGUGGUGUAGCGGUGAAAUGCUUAGAUAUCACGAAGAACUCCGAUUGCGAAGGCAGUUCACUGGACUGCAACUGACACUGAGGCUCGAAAGUGUGGGUAUCAAACAGGAUUAGAUACCCGUGUAGUC
rnacentral:rRNA from 1 species